rnacentral:rRNA from 1 species
GAUCAUGGCUCAGGACGAACGCUGGCGGCGUGCUUAACACAUGCAAGUCGAACGAGAGGACAAGAGAAGCUUGCUUCUUUUGAAAUCGAGUGGCAAACGGGUGAGUAACACGUAAACAACCUGCCUUCAGGAUGGGGACGAACAGACGGAAACGACUGCUAAUACCGAAUACGCUUGGGAGACCGCAUGAUCUUCCAAGGAAAGGGUGGCCUCUACCUGUAAGCUAUCGCCCGUAGAAGGGUUGGGUU